GAUGAACGCUAGCUACAGGCUUAACACAUGCGAGUCGAGGGGAAACGGCAUUAAGUGCUUGCACUUUUUGGACGUCGACCGGCGCACGGGUGAGUAACGCGUAUCCAACCUUCCCAUGACUAAGGGAUAACCUGCCGAAAGGCAGACUAAUACCUUAUGGUCUUCACUGACGGCAUCAGAUGUGAAGUAAAGAUUUAUCGGUUAUGGAUGGGGAUGCGUCUGAUUAGCUUGUUGGCGGGGUAACGGCCCACCAAGGCAACGAUCAGUAGGGGUUCUGAGAGGAAGGUCCCCCACAUUGGAACUGAAACCCGGUCCAAACUCCUACGGGAGGCAGCAGUGAGGAAUAUUGGUCAAUGGGCGAGAGCCUGAACCAGCCAAGUAGCGUGCAGGAUGACGGCCCUAUGGGUUGUAAACUGCUUUUGUAUGGGGAUAAAGUCAAUCACGUGUGAUUGUUUGCAGGUACCAUACGAAUAAGGACCGGCUAAUUCCGUG
rnacentral:rRNA from 1 species